rnacentral:rRNA from 1 species
AUUGAACGCUGGCGGCAGGCCUAACACAUGCAAGUCGAACGAGUGGCGGACGGGUGAGUAAUGUCUGGGAAACUGCCUGAUGGAGGGGGAUAACUACUGGAAACGGUAGCUAAUACCGCAUACCAUCGGAUGUGCCCAGGUGGGAUUAGCUAGUGGGUGGGGUAACGGCUCACCUAGCCGACGAUCCCUAGCUGGUCUGAGAGGAUGACCAGCCACACUGGAACGGAGACACGGUCCAGACUCCUACGGGAGGCAGCAGUGGGGAAUAUUGCACAAUGGGCGCAAGCCUGAUGCAGCCAUGCCGCGUGAAUGAAGAAGGCCUUCGGGUUGUAAAGUACUUUCAGCGAGGAGGCGUUAAUCGCAGAAGAAGCACCGGCUAACUCCGUGCCAGCAGCCGCGGUAAUAC